rnacentral:rRNA from 1 species
UAGGGAAUCUUCCGCAAUGGACGCAAGUCUGACGGAGCAACGCCGCGUGAGUGAAGAAGGAUUUCGGUUCGUAAAACUCUGUUGUUAGAGAAGAACAGCGCAUAGAGUAACUGUUAUGCGUGUGACGGUAUCUAACCAGAAAGCCACGGCUAACUACGUGCCAGCAGCCGCGGUAAUACGUAGGUGGCAAGCGUUGUCCGGAUUUAUUGGGCGUAAAGCGAGCGCAGGCGGUCAAUUAAGUCUGAUGUGAAAGCCCCCGGCUCAACCGGGGAGGGGCAUUGGAAACUGGUUGACUUGAGUGCAGAAGAGGAGAGUGGAAUUCCAUGUGUAGCGGUGAAAUGCGUAGAUAUAUGGAGGAACACCAGUGGCGAAGGCGACUCCCUGGUCUGUAACUGACGCUGAGGCUCGAAAGCGUUGGUAGCAAACAGG